AGAGUUUGAUCCUGGCUCAGGAUGAACGCUAGCGACAGGCUUAACACAUGCAAGUCGAGGGGCAGCACAGGUAGCAAUACCGGGUGGCGACCGGCGCACGGGUGAGUAACGCGUAUGCAACUUACCUAUCAGAGGGGGAUAACCCGGCGAAAGUCGGACUAAUACCGCAUGAAGCAGGGGCCCCGCAUGGGGAUAUUUGCUAAAGAUUCAUCGCUGAUAGAUAGGCAUGCGUUCCAUUAGGCAGUUGGCGGGGUAACGGCCCACCAAACCGACGAUGGAUAGGGGUUCUGAGAGGAAGGUCCCCCACAUUGGUACUGAGACACGGACCAAACUCCUACGGGAGGCAGCAGUGAGGAAUAUUGGUCAAUGGGCGUAAGCCUGAACCAGCCAAGUCGCGUGAGGGAUGAAGGUUCUAUGGAUCGUAAACCUCUUUUAUAAGGGAAUAAAGUGCGGGACGUGUCCCGUUUUGUAUGUACCUUAUGAAUAAGGAUCGGCUAACUCCGUGCCAGCAGCCGCGGUAAUACGGAGGAUCCGAGCGUUAUCCGGAUUUAUUGGGUUUAAAGGGAGCGUAGGCGGACUAUUAAGUCAGCUGUGAAAGUUUGCGGCUCAACCGUAAAAUUGCAGUUGAUACUGGUCGUCUUGAGUGCAGUAGAGGUAGGCGGAAUUCGUGGUGUAGCGGUGAAAUGCUUAGAUAUCACGAAGAACUCCGAUUGCGAAGGCAGCUUACUGGACUGUAACUGACGCUGAUGCUCGAAAGUGUGGGUAUCAAACAGGAUUAGAUACCCUGGUAGUCCACACAGUAAACGAUGAAUACUCGCUGUUUGCGAUAUACAGUAAGCGGCCAAGCGAAAGCGUUAAGUAUUCCACCUGGGGAGUACGCCGGCAACGGUGAAACUCAAAGGAAUUGACGGGGGCCCGCACAAGCGGAGGAACAUGUGGUUUAAUUCGAUGAUACGCGAGGAACCUUACCCGGGCUUGAAUUGCAACUGAAUGAUGUGGAGACAUGUCAGCCGCAAGGCAGUUGUGAAGGUGCUGCAUGGUUGUCGUCAGCUCGUGCCGUGAGGUGUCGGCUUAAGUGCCAUAACGAGCGCAACCCUUGUUGUCAGUUACUAACAGGUUCCGCUGAGGACUCUGACAAGACUGCCAUCGUAAGAUGUGAGGAAGGUGGGGAUGACGUCAAAUCAGCACGGCCCUUACGUCCGGGGCUACACACGUGUUACAAUGGGGGGUACAGAAGGCAGCUAGCGGGUGACCGUAUGCUAAUCCCAAAAGCCUCUCUCAGUUCGGAUCGAAGUCUGCAACCCGACUUCGUGAAGCUGGAUUCGCUAGUAAUCGCGCAUCAGCCAUGGCGCGGUGAAUACGUUCCCGGGCCUUGUACACACCGCCCGUCAAGCCAUGAAAGCCGGGGGUACCUGAAGUCCGUAACCGUAAGGAGCGGCCUAGGGUAAAACUGGUAAUUGGGGCUAAGUCGUAACAAGGUAGCCGUACCGGAAGGUGCGGCUG
rnacentral:rRNA from 1 species